rnacentral:rRNA from 1 species
ACGGGUGAGAAACGCGUAGGAAUCUGCCUUAUAGAGGGGGACAACUAGAGGAAACUCUAGCUAAUACCGCAUAAUGUCUACGGACCAAAUGCUGGGUAGCAAUACCUGGCGCUAUAAGAGGAGCCUGCGUCCGAUUAGCUAGUUGGUAGGGUAAAGGCCUACCAAGGCGAUGAUCGGUAGCUGGUCUGAGAGGAUGAUCAGCCACACUGGGACUGAGACACGGCCCAGACUCCUACGGGAGGCAGCAGUGGGGAAUAUUGGACAAUGGGGGCAACCCUGAUCCAGCAAUACCGCGUGUGUGAAGAAGGCCUUCGGGUUGUAAAGCACUUUAGGCUGGGAAGAAGGUGUGUAGUUUAAGAGAUAACACAUUUGACUGUACCGGCAGAAUAAGCACCGGCUAACUCUGUGCCAGCAGCCGCGGUAAUACAGAGGGUGCAAGCGUUAAUCGGAGUUACUGGGCGUAAAGGGCGCGUAGGUGGUUAUGUAAGUGAGAUGUGAAAUCCCUGGGCUUAACCUAGGAACUGCAUCUUAUACUGCAUAACUGGAGUACUGUAGAGGGUAGUGGAAUUUCCGGUGU